CAGAGGGUGCAAGCGUUGUUCGGAAUUAUUGGGCGUAAAGCGCGUGUAGGCGGCUUUGCAAGUCGGGUGUGAAAGCCCUCAGCUCAACUGAGGAAGUGCGCCCGAAACUGCAGAGCUUGAGAACCGGAGAGGAUGGCGGAAUUCCCCAAGUAGAGGUGAAAUUCGUAGAUAUGGGGAGGAACACCGGUGGCGAAGGCGGCCAUCUGGACGGAUUCUGACGCUGAGACGCGAAAGCGUGGGUAGCAAACAGGAUUAGAUACCCUGGUAGUCCACGCCGUAAACGAUGAGAACUAGGUGUCGUGGGUGUUGACCCCCGCGGUGCCGUAGCUAACGCAUUAAGUUCUCCGCCUGGGAAGUACGGCCGCAAGGCUA
rnacentral:rRNA from 1 species